GUCUACGGCCAUGCCACCCUAAACAAGCCCGAUGUCUGAUCUCGGAAGCUGAGCAGGAUCGAGCCUAGUUAGUACUUGGAUGGAAGACCACUUAGGAAGACCCGGUGCUGUGGGCA
rnacentral:rRNA from 1 species